rnacentral:rRNA from 1 species
UACGAAGGGGGCUAGCGUUGUUCGGAUUUACUGGGCGUAAAGCGCACGUAAGCGGUUUGUUAAGUCAGGGGUGAAAUCCCACAGCUCAACUGUGGAACUGCCUUUGAUACUGGCAAGCUAGAGUCCGGAAGAGGUAAGUGGAACUCCUAGUGUAGAGGUGGAAUUCGUAGAUAUUAGGAAGAACACCAGUGGCGAAGGCGGCUUACUGGUCCGGAACUGACGCUGAGGUGCGAAAGCGUGGGGAGCAAACAGG